GAUGAACGCUAGCUACAGGCUUAACACAUGCAAGUCGAGGGGCAGCACAGUGUAGCAAUACACGGGUGGCGACCGGCGCACGGGUGCGUAACGCGUAUCCAACCUUCCCGUUACUCUUGGAUAGCCUUCCGAAAGGGAGAUUAAUACAAGAUGGUAUUCAAAUUCCGCAUGUUAUUUGAAUUAAAGAUUUAUCGGUAACGGAUGGGGAUGCGUGACAUUAGGUAGAUGGCGGGGUAACGGCCCACCAUGCCUACGAUGUCUAGGGGUUCUGAGAGGAAGGUCCCCCACACUGGAGCUGAGACACGGUCCAGACUCCUACGGGAGGCAGCAGUGAGGAAUAUUGGUCAAUGGUCGGAAGACUGAACCAGCCAAGUAGCGUGAAGGAUGAAGGUUCAUGGAUUGUAAACUUCUUUUAUACGGGAAUAAAACCUCCCACGUGUGGGAGCUUGUAUGUACCGUAUGAAUAAGCAUCGGCUAACUCCGUGCCAGCAGCCG
rnacentral:rRNA from 1 species